rnacentral:rRNA from 1 species
UACGAAGGGUGCAAACGUUGCUCGGAAUUACUGGGCGUAAAGCGUGCGUAGACGGUUAUUUAAGUCGGGUGUGAAAGCCCCCGGGCUCAACCUGGGAAUUGCAUUCGAGACUGAAUAGCUAGGGUACGGUAGAGGGAAGUGGAAUUUCCGGUGUAGCGGUGAAAUGCGUAGAUAUCGGAAGGAACAUCAGUGGCGAAAGCGACUUCCUGGACCAGUACCGACGUUCAGGCACGAAAGCGUGGGGAGCAAACAGG